GACGAACGCUGGCGGCGUGCCUAAUACAUGCAAGUGGGACGCAAGGGAACACACUGUGCUUGCACACCGUGUUUUCUUGAGUCGCGAACGGGUGAGUAACGCGUAGGUAACCUGCCUAUUAGCGGGGGAUAACUAUUGGAAACGAUAGCUAAUACCGCAUAAUAUUAAUUAUUGCAUGAUAAUUGAUUGAAAGAUGCAAGCGCAUCACUAGUAGAUGGACCUGCGUUGUAUUAGCUAGUUGGUAAGGUAAGAGCUCACCAAGGCGACGAUACAUAGCCGACCUGAGAGGGUGAUCGGCCACACUGGGACUGAGACACGGCCCAGACUCCUACGGGAGGCAGCAGUAGGGAAUCUUCGGCAAUGGACGAAAGUCUGACCGAGCAACGCCGCGUGAGUGAAGAAGGUUUUCGGAUCGUAAAGCUCUGUUGUAAGUCAAGAACGUGUGUGAGAGGGAAAGUUCACACA
rnacentral:rRNA from 1 species